rnacentral:lncRNA from 1 species
AGCCCCCUAACUUAACCCCACCGUCAUUCAUUUUCUUAUCUCUUAAUCUAACCUACGGAAGAAAGGGAAAUAAAGAAAGAAAUGGAAAAUAAGGAAAACAGGGGGAAGGAAGGGGAAAUAAGGAAAGAAAGGGAAAUAAGGAAGACAUGGGGAAGCUCGAGAAGUGGGGAACUGAUAAAGGAAGAAAAGGAAAGGAAGUGAAGAGAGAGAGAAGCGUAGAGGGAGAAGAGGAAGAAGCCGCCGCCACUGCGGUUCGCGUUCACGUCGCCGUCGUAGCGCCUCCAUCCUUGCGCCAGUCGCUGCCGCUGUCGGUGAUGAAGCCCGUCGUCGCCACUUGCGCCUCUACCGCCGUCAGAACUGCACGCCGCCGCUGGAAGCAUCUUCAUCGUCGCCGUUGAUGGAGGUCCGUGAACAGUGGGAAGAUGCACGAGGAAGGAGAAGCCUUCGCCGUUGCCGCUCCGUCUCAACCUGGUUAUCGCCGUCAAGCCACGCCCGCGCCACCGUCACUGAGAUGCCGUUGUUGUUGCCUCCAUUUCCGCCGCAGAUGCCGCCGGCGCCGCCGUAAGCUGCUCCUGCCAAUUGGUUCUGAUUCGGUGGGAAUCCCUUGUGCCAGAUCUGUCCUAAGUGGUUCCGAGUUCACGUUGGUUCUGCUCUUGCCGAUGAGGGCCGCCGGAGCUGCGACUGCGACUGCACUGAUUUUGGUUCCUUGUUAUGUAGUAAGUUGCUUUUGCUCCAAAAACCCCUCUUUGUCAUUGUUACCCCCUCUUUGUCAUUGUUUUGUUAUACAUUAUUGAGUUUCAUGCGACAUUAAUGUUUUAGGAUUGAGCUACAAUUCUGGGAUGAUGUGUUUAGAAGUUGUAGCUGUUGCGGGGAUAGUCGAUUUUGAUGCCACUGCUGCGAAAUAAGAAUAGAAACGGAAUUUUGUCACGUAGUUGAGCCUUGAAUUGAGGUAGGGGUUUUCUUAAAAUUCAUUUUAUCUUACAGAGUUGUUAUAAAUAGAUAUUAAUGUGAGAAUUAUAUGUCUGUGAUUAUGAUUGUUUUAUAAAUGUGGUUGUUUGCUGGACUGAUUGCUUGUGUGGUUUGUGAUUGCUGAAAAGAAAUUAGUUUGAAAGGUUAUUUAGUUAAUUAUUAUGAAAAAUGGUCUUCUUGGUUUUGAAGCUAUUUUUGACAAUGUAAACGAACCGGCUUUAGAAAUGAUUUGGAAUAUGAAACUGAGUUAAUUUUGAAAACGGUUUAAUUUUGAGUUAAUCUGACUUUAUAGAUGAUUUAGUAUUUGAGCUUGUUUGAUUUUAAAAAGAGAUUUAUUAUUGGCAUUGACUCGCUUUGAAAAUAAUUUGAUAUUGGAGUUGGUUGAAUUUUGGAAAUGAAUGAGAUUUGGAAAUGGUUGAGAAUAGGUUUGAGAAAUGUUUGGAUGGGACCCGAAAAGAGUGGCAGUGUCCGAGUUUUAGAGGAGAUGCUGCCGAAAUUUUAUAAAACUGAAAGUUUUAUUUAGAGUAAUUAAUUAAAAAGGUUUGUUUUUAAACAUUAUAUGUUUAAAGAUUUAUUUAUUUAUCAGAGAAAGAAUUAUGUUUUGAUUUGGGAUUGUUAAUGGAUGAAAUGGAAAGGAGGAUGAUGAUAAUUUUCUUUGAAAUAUGGUUCUUGAAUGAAUUUGGAAAUGAGAUUUGGACUGAUGAAUGACUGUGAAGUUGAGAAUGUUGAGAAUGUUAAGAUAUUGAUUGAGAAUGUUGAGUUAUGAACUCUGAUUUAUUCGUGUGGCUUAUGAAAUUGAAUUAUCUGAGAUACGAGGUUCCCUGGAUUAAGUGCCGUGGCUUGCCACCACGUGUACCACGUUGAAAACUCGAUACUCUGUUGACCCUACGACGUAAGUGUGACCGGGCACUAUAUAAAUUCCCGGGAAUGUUACCCCCAUUGAGCAAUAUUGAUUAUUUAAGAAAAAGCUAUGCAUAGACUCUUGGGGAUGCACGUCGGGGGACAGUCUAAGGACAAUUCAGACUUGUCGGGUUGGCUGGAUAACCGACAGAUGAGCCUCAUCAGCCAUAGGACAGGCAUGCAUCAUAUGCAUUUAUUUGCUUUGCUUGGGUUUGAACUUGUUUUGGUUUGCCUAAUUGUUAAAUUAUUCUUAAAUGCUACUUGAACUAUUUGCUGUAACUGCUACCUUCUUGUGCUUUCCUUGUCUGUCUUGCUUGUGUUUGUCCUGACGUGCUAUAUUUGAGAAUGAACUUUAGUGCUGAAUUAAUGAUUGUGUUGUUUGAUUGCGUGGUUGGUUUCUGAAUGAGGUUUUCUUAUAAGAAAAGAAAGGUUUUGGAUUUCUGAAAGAUUAAACAUUGUUUCUUUAAAAAGGUUUUAAACGAUUACCUAUUGAUUUUUAAAAGAUUCAUAAGGCAAUGAUAAUCACUGAGCUUGAAAACAGAUUUCUUAUUAGAUAUCUUCAUAUGACAACUUUGAAACUCUGAGGUGAGACCGUGUGGUUAAGUUCUCACUAGGGGUGGCAAGCGGGGAAGCCCGCCCCGCCCCGCCCCGCCCCGCCAAAACCAGCGGUUUAAGCGGUGCGGGUUAAGCGGGCUUUUGCUAUUUGGCGGUCCCAAUUUUCCAGCCCGGCCCGCCUUUUUUGGCGGGUUACGCGGGCCGGCCCGGCGGGUUUAGGCCCGUUUGCCACCCCUAGUUCUCACCCCCCUACAGCUUUACUUUUUCAGGAACCAGAUGAAGAGGCAUUAAGAGUUAUACUGAGUUUGGUUUAUAUGCUGCUGUGUUAAUUAGAUUAUUUUCUUCCCUCGUCUUUGUUAUUACAAAUUUGUAAGAGGGAUAGGAAUUGUAUGUUCUAUAUGUAUAUUAUAUUAUGAGAUAAUAUGUAAGGAGUCUUGUAUAUGAAUCUAUGCCUGCUUGCAUUUUUCUUAAGAUAAAGUGUUUAUUUCCGGUUUGAUAAGAAAUCAGCGAUACAGUGGCGAGUCACAGGCUCCUAUUUUAGUACUUAGUAUGUAAAGUAGUCGUAAUACUUCUUACUAUCAGAGUGGCGCAGCCGGAAGCGUGACUUUUGAUAAUGAGGAUGUUACAAUAAUAAUAAUAUUACCGUCACUGACCCUAAAUUUAAACUACUAACAACUUAUAAUAAUAAUAACAAUAACAACGNNNNNNNNNNNNNNNNNNNNNNNNNNNNNNNNNNNNNNNNNNNNNNNNNNNNNNNNNNNNNNNNNNNNNNNNNNNNNNNNNNNNNNNNNNNNNNNNNNNNNNNNNNNNNNNNNNNNNNNNNNNNNNNNNNNNNNNNNNNNNNNNNNNNNNNNNNNNNGAUGGCUGAUAUAUCUUAUAAUAUGAAGUUCAGAUCGAUCAACAUCUUUAGAUUUUUAUUUUUUUGAUAUUAUAAUUUUAUUUCAGUCAUUUUGGGAAGACGAAGAAGAUCUGGAUGAAGAAGAGGAUGGGAGAAUGGUUGCUGGUGGGAUAAAGAGGAAGCUCAGCUCGGAUGGUGGGAAUACAUGCAGUAAAGGGAAGCUGGGGUUAGGGGGGCACCGUUGUGGGGAGCAACGUCGACGCGACACAUGGCGGGGGAGGGACAACUCGAACCCUCCGAUCUAUGCCCACAAUGUGGACCGUCCGAUUUGUCAUAGAGAUUUCGGAUCGUCCGAUUUGUCCUUACCUGAUCCCACAAUAUGGUAAAGCACACACGCACUAUAAUUCUAUUUUUAUUUAUUUUAUAAAAUUACAUUAUUAUCCCUAUUUUUAUUUAAAUUUUCUAAUCUACCUCACACCACUCCAAACCCUAACACUACACUCACCACACCCCACACUCACGGUGAACACACACACAAAACUCACCCACACUCACAAAGCAAAGAAUAGAAAAAAGAAAAGAAAGAAAAGAGAGUGGAGGUUGCGAAAGAAGAGGGAGAAUCCGAGAGAGAGAGAGAGAGAGAGAGUGCCGGGAAAGGGGGGAGCUGUCUGCGCUGCCACACAGUGUCGCCGCCAGACCGCGUCCAGCCCGCACUGCCUCUGCGCCAUGUGCCGCCGUCAAGCUUGCCUCACUGUUCGUCCUUGUUGCCGCCAAUUACGCUGUCGCGGAAGGGAGAUGCACGAGAGAGGAGUGGCUGAUUCUGUCACCACCACCGCGCCGUGCUCCACGCUGUCGCCGCCUCUAUUCCAUCACGAAAGAAGGACACGCAAGGGGGAAAACAGAACCGCGAGAGAGCUCAGCCACGGAGGGAGGAGAUGCGCGCCUAACCCAUCGCCGAACUGCGUUGCUGUCCAUGAAAUUGUCUCCGCCGCCGCUGUCGGAGGUUGUCACCGUGCCUUGCCUCUGCCGCUGGAGACCGCCGUUGGAUCCUCUGACUCGGUAAGCGUUUCGUUCUGAGAUCUUUAAAAAUCGAUAAUCUGUUAUAAGUUAUUAAAGAUUCUAAGAUGUUGGUAACGUAGGGUCGAGCUUCGAGUGUUGCGUGCUGAGUUCAAUGGCUGUUGCAUGCGUCCUCAAGCUGCUACGUCGUCACUGGAGCUGCCUUUCCUCCGUUUUCUCAAUUAUUCGUGAGCCCAGUAAGUCAUUCCUUGUUUCGAACUCUUUCAGUUGCUGUUUUGUUAUAGAUUAUUGAAUUUUACAGAACGUUAAUAUAUCAAGAUUGAGUGUUGUUGUGAGUGGCACUUUUGGGGAUGUUACGGCUGCGGGAAAUAGUCAGACUCGAUGCCGUUCGAUUUCAGGCCGAGGAGAAAAGGGAUUCUCUGAUGCGUUUGGUUGUGGGUUCGCUUGCUGAGGUAGGGUUUUCUUAAAAUUUAUUUUAUCUUAUAGAGUUGUUAUAAAUAGAUAUUAAUGUGAGAAACAUAUGUCUGUGAUUAUGAUUGUCUUAUGAAUGUGGUUGUUUGCUGGACUGAAUGACUAAUUGCUUGAGUGGUGUGUGAUUAUUGAAAAGAAAUUAGUUUGAAAAGUUUUUUAGUUAAUUAUUAUGAAAAGUGAUUUUUCUUGGGUUUGAAGUUAAUUUGAUAAUAUAAAUGAAUCGGUUUUGGAAAUGAUUUAAGAUAUGAAAAUGAAUUAAUUUUGGAAGCGAUUUAAUUUUGAAUUAGUUUAAUUUUAUAAAUGAUUUAAUAUUUGAGCUGGUUUAAUUUUGGAAAAAAAAUAUUAUUGGAAAUGGUUCAAUUUGAAAAUAAUUUGAUACUAGAACUAGUUGAAUUUUGGAAAAUGAUUGAGAUUUGGAAAUGGUUGAGAAAGGGUUUGAGGAAUGUUUAGAUGGGACCCAAAAAGGGUGGCAGAGUCCGAGUUUUAGAGGAGAUGCUGCCGAAAUUUUAUAAAAUUGGAAGUUUUGUUUGAAGUAAUUAUUUAAAAAGAUUUGGUUUUAAACAUUAUAUGUUUUAAGAUUGAUUUAUUUAGAAAAGAAAGAAUUAUGUUUUGAAUUGGGAUUGUUGAUGAACAUAAUGGAAAGAUGGAUGAUGAGGAUUGACUUUGAAAUAUGAUUUUUUAAUGAAUUCGGAAAUAAGGUAUGGAUUGACGAAUGAUGAUGAUAUUGAGAAUGACUUAGAUAUUGAUGAAUGUUGAAUGAGUUAUUCAUAUGGCUUAUGAAUUUGAAUUAUCUGAGACACGAAUUUUCCUGGGUAGACGUAGUGGCUUGCCACCACUUGCUCCAAGUUGAGACUCGAUACUCUGUUGACCCCAUGACGUAAGGGUGACCGGCCACUUAUAAAUUCUCGGGAAUGGUACCCCCAUUGAGAGAUUUGAUAUAUAUAUGAGAAAAAUCUAUGCAUAGACUCAUGGGGAUGCGCAUCAGGGGACAAUCCAAGGGUUUAGCAUAGGACAUGCAUGCAUCAUAUGUAUUUGUAUUCUUUGCUUGGGUUUGAAUUUGUUUUGCUUUGCCUAAUUGUUAAACUAUUAUUAACUGCUACCUGAACUAUUUGCUGUAACUGCUAUCUAAACCUGUGCUUUCCUUGUCUAUUUUGACUGUGUUUGUUCUGGUGUGCUAUUUUUGAGAAUAAGCUUUGAUGCUGAAUUAAUGAUUGUGUUGAUUGAUUGCAUGGUUGGUUUCUGAUUGAGAUUUUCUUAAAAGAAAAGAAAGGUUUUGGAUUUUUGGAUAUUUAAAUAUUAAUUUUCAAAAAUGGUUUUUGGAUUACUAGUUGUCGGUUUUUAAAAGAUUCAAAGGACGAACAAUAAUCACUUAACUUAAAAAUAGAUUUCUCUUUUAAUAUCUUAUUAUGACAAUUCUAAAACUUUGUGGUGAGACCGUGUGGUUAGGUUCUCACCCCUAUAACUUUAUCUUUUAGGAGACGGAUGAAAAAGCCCACGAAGGGUUGUAUUGCAUUUUGCUUAGUCGAUAAUGCUAUUUAGUUUCUAUUUACUUACCCCCUCGCCAUCAAUAUUAUAUUAUGUAAGAUGGAUAGGAGUUGUAUAAUUUGUAUAUAUAUAAUAUGUAUAGGUUACUUGAGUAAGAAGUUUUGUACAUGUAUAUGCUUGUUUUGUUUCAUUUAAAAAGUAUAUUUUUUCCGGUUUUCAAAAAGAACAGUGAUACGAUUUCGGGUCAAAUGCUCCUAUUUUAUUAUUAAGUAUAUGAAGUCGUCAUAAUACUUCUUGCUAUCAGAGUAACGUAGCCAAAAGUGUGACAUUCUGAUAGUGAGGGUGUUACAUUGUGGCCAUCAACCUUUCCCAUAUUGAUUUAUCUACUAUUGUUUUGCUUCCUUUUUUUCCAACACCAUGCCUGGUCUUCCCAUGCCUUUCAUGCAGUUAUACACAAUCAAAGAGGGUAAUAAGUUGACACUUGAUAUUGUCCUCUCUAAUAAAAAAUUCUGAUAAUCUUAAAAUGACUAACUAAUUUAUUCUCGUUAUUUGUAUAAAAUAAUGUAUCAGUCAAUAUUAGUAUUUUUUUCCAAUUUUCCACAGUAUUCUUAACUCACCAAAUUAAGGAUUGAUUCGUUGCAGAUUCGAGCUCUAUUUAAGGAUUUGUCAUUAGGCAAUAAGUUGCUGUAUACAUAGGGCGGGACUCGAACUCACAAUACUUAUUUAAGCAGAUGAGUAAGCUAACUAUUCGACCAACCCAAAUUAAUUUCAAUACUAAUAUGUUUGUUUUUAGAAUAAUAUGAGACGAACUUAUUCGAUGAAUUUGUUUAAUAAACAAAAUAUUUGUUAUUUUCAAAUUUUAGAAGAUUUUUUGUCCCUCAUAUUUUUCAUUAAGAAAAAAAAUUGGGAAUUCAUUCGUCAAUAAUUGUAUAUACUUUUUGUUUGUCCAUGUACUUACUAUGUCUUCUUCAUAGUAAUAAUAUGAAAAAGGAGCAUGACUUGAAAUUUUGUUAAGCG